UUCUUUUAUUGCCCGAAUAGGAGAACGGAGCUGGAAAGCAGCUGAACUUAAGGCGAGAGGAAGAAGGUGACAGGCUGGAAGCAGCACUCUGAGGUCGUAGCUUGGCAAACACAUCUGGGAAGUGCAGCUUUUGCCUCGGGGUUUGCAACCGUUCCAUAACACAUGACCGAGAGAAGGCAAGACACUGCUGAAACUUAAGGUUGGUCAAGCAUUGUUGGAAUUCACCACGAAACUAGGAACUCACCCUUUUUGAUCCCACAGAAGGGUGUAAUUACCUUCACCUGAAUUCACCAACUGCCACUCCUCUCUGGAAGAGUCCUCUUCUGAAGAACAGCAGGAAUUGCAGGUACUGCCCUACCCAGGAAGAACCUAGGGGCUUUCACCUCCUUAAAAGAUGAAGAUGGAAGACACUUCAGAUGAGGAUGAGUCUACAAAGGCAUCCUGGGUCCUAAAGACAGAUGGUUCUUAAAAGGUACAGGGUUAGUGCCUACU